CAGCCGCCGCGGUAAUACGAAGGGGGCUAGCGUUACUCGGAAUUACUGGGCGUAAAGGGCGCGUAGGCGGCACGAUUAGUCAGGCGUGAAAUUCCUGGGCUCAACCUGGGGACUGCGCUUGAUACGGUCGAGCUAGAGGAUGGAAGAGGGUUGUGGAAUUCCCAGUGUAGAGGUGAAAUUCGUAGAUAUUGGGAAGAACACCGGUGGCGAAGGCGGCAACCUGGUCCAUUACUGACGCUGAGGCGCGACAGCGUGGGGAGCAAACAGGAUUAGAUACCCCAGUAGUCCCUGUCUCUUAUAC
rnacentral:rRNA from 1 species